rnacentral:rRNA from 1 species
CCUACGGGUGGCAGCAGUGAGGAAUAUUGGACAAUGGGCGCAAGCCUGAACCAGCCAAGUAGCGUGAAGGAAGACUGCCCUACGGGUUGUAAGCUUCUUUUAUGAAGAGGUAAAGUGAGGCACGUGUGACUUUUUGUAUGUACUUUAUGAAUAAGGAUCGGCUAACUCCGUGCCAGCAGCCGCGCUACUACGGAGGAUCCGAGCGUUAUCCGGAUUGAUUGGGUUUAAAGGGAGCGUAGAUGGGUUGUUAAGUCAGUUGUGAAAGUUUGCGGCUCAACCGUAAAAUUGCAAUUGAUACUGGCAGCCUUGAGUACAGUUGAGGUAGGCGGAAUUCGUGGUGUAGCGGUGAAAUGCUUAGAUAUCACGAAGAACUCCGAUUGCGAAGGCAGCUUACUAAACUGCCACUGACAUUGAUGCUCGAAAGUGUGGGUAUCAAACAGGAUUAGAUACCCCAGUAGUC